AAUCCAUAGGUUAAUGAGGCGAACCGGGGGAACUGAAACAUCUAAGUACCCCGAGGAAAAGAAAUCAACCGAGAUUCCCCCAGUAGCGGCGAGCGAACGGGGAGGAGCCCAGAGCCUGAAUCAGCAUGUGUGUUAGUGGAAGCGUCUGGAAAGGCGCGCGAUACAGGGUGACAGCCCCGUACACAAAAGCGCAUGUGCUGUGAGCUCGAUGAGUAGGGCGGGACACGUGGUAUCCUGUCUGAAUAUGGGGGGACCAUCCUCCAAGGCUAAAUACUCCUGACUGACCGAUAGUGAACCAGUACCGUGAGGGAAAGGCGAAAAGAACCCCGGCGAGGGGAGUGAAAAAGAACCUGAAACCGUGUACGUACAAGCAGUGGGAGCACCCUUUGGGUGUGACUGCGUACCUUUUGUAUAAUGGGUCAGCGACUUAUAUUCUGUAGCAAGGUUAACCGAAUAGGGGAGCCGGAGGGAAACCGAGUCUUAACCGGGCGUUAAGUUGCAGGGUAUAGACCCGAAACCCGGUGAUCUAGCCAUGGGCAGGUUGAAGGUUGGGUAACACUAACUGGAGGACCGAACCGACUAAUGUUGAAAAAUUAGCGGAUGACCUGUGGCUGGGGGUGAAAGGCCAAUCAAACCGGGAGAUAGCUGGUUCUCCCCGAAAGCUAUUUAGGUAGCGCCUCGUGAAUUCAUCUCCGGGGGUAGAGCACUGUUUCGGCUAGGGGGCCAUCCCGGCUUACCAACCCGAUGCAAACUGCGAAUACCGGAGAAUGUUAUCACGGGAGACACACGGCGGGUGCUAACGUCCGUCGUGAAGAGGGAAACAACCCAGACCGCCAGCUAAGGUCCCAAAGUCAUGGUUAAGUGGGAAACGAUGUGGGAAGGCCCAGACAGCCAGGAUGUUGGCUUAGAAGCAGCCAUCAUUUAAAGAAAGCGUAAUAGCUCACUGGUCGAGUCGGCCUGCGCGGAAGAUGUAACGGGGCUAAACCAUGCACCGAAGCUGCGGCAGCGACACUGUGUGUUGUUGGGUAGGGGAGCGUUCUGUAAGCCUGUGAAGGUGUGUCGUGAGGCAUGCUGGAGGUAUCAGAAGUGCGAAUGCUGACAUAAGUAACGAUAAAGCGGGUGAAAAGCCCGCUCGCCGGAAGACCAAGGGUUCCUGUCCAACGUUAAUCGGGGCAGGGUGAGUCGACCCCUAAGGCGAGGCCGAAAGGCGUAGUCGAUGGGAAACGGGUUAAUAUUCCCGUACUUGGUGUUACUGCGAAGGGGGGACGGAGAAGGCUAUGUUGGCCGGGCGACGGUUGUCCCGGUUUAAGCGUGUAGGCUGGUUUUCCAGGCAAAUCCGGAAAAUCAAGGCUGAGGCGUGAUGACGAGGCACUACGGUGCUGAAGCAACAAAUGCCCUGCUUCCAGGAAAAGCCUCUAAGCAUCAGGUAACAUCAAAUCGUACCCCAAACCGACACAGGUGGUCAGGUAGAGAAUACCAAGGCGCUUGAGAGAACUCGGGUGAAGGAACUAGGCAAAAUGGUGCCGUAACUUCGGGAGAAGGCACGCUGACACGUAGGUGAAGUGAUUUACUCAUGGAGCUGAAGUCAGUCGAAGAUACCAGCUGGCUGCAACUGUUUAUUAAAAACACAGCACUGUGCAAACACGAAAGUGGACGUAUACGGUGUGACGCCUGCCCGGUGCCGGAAGGUUAAUUGAUGGGGUCAGCGCAAGCGAAGCUCCUGAUCGAAGCCCCGGUAAACGGCGGCCGUAACUAUAACGGUCCUAAGGUAGCGAAAUUCCUUGUCGGGUAAGUUCCGACCUGCACGAAUGGCGUAAUGAUGGCCAGGCUGUCUCCACCCGAGACUCAGUGAAAUUGAACUCGCUGUGAAGAUGCAGUGUACCCGCGGCAAGACGGAAAGACCCCGUGAACCUUUACUAUAGCUUGACACUGAACAUUGAGCCUUGAUGUGUAGGAUAGGUGGGAGGCUUUGAAGUGUGGACGCCAGUCUGCAUGGAGCCGACCUUGAAAUACCACCCUUUAAUGUUUGAUGUUCUAACGUGGACCCGUUACCCGGGUUGCGGACAGUGUCUGGUGGGUAGUUUGACUGGGGCGGUCUCCUCCUAAAGAGUAACGGAGGAGCACGAAGGUUGGCUAAUCCUGGUCGGACAUCAGGAGGUUAGUGCAAUGGCAUAAGCCAGCUUGACUGCGAGCGUGACGGCGCGAGCAGGUGCGAAAGCAGGUCAUAGUGAUCCGGUGGUUCUGAAUGGAAGGGCCAUCGCUCAACGGAUAAAAGGUACUCCGGGGAUAACAGGCUGAUACCGCCCAAGAGUUCAUAUCGACGGCGGUGUUUGGCACCUCGAUGUCGGCUCAUCACAUCCUGGGGCUGAAGUAGGUCCCAAGGGUAUGGCUGUUCGCCAUUUAAAGUGGUACGCGAGCUGGGUUUAGAACGUCGUGAGACAGUUCGGUCCCUAUCUGCCGUGGGCGCUGGAGAACUGAGGGGGGCUGCUCCUAGUACGAGAGGACCGGAGUGGACGCAUCACUGGUGUUCGGGUUGUCAUGCCAAUGGCACUGCCCGGUAGCUAAAUGCGGAAGAGAUAAGUGCUGAAAGCAUCUAAGCACGAAACUUGCCCCGAG
rnacentral:rRNA from 2 species